rnacentral:lncRNA from 1 species
CCAGCCUCAGGACCGCUUUCCUUCCUCCGCCCAUUGCUCCCAGUCGCGUCCCUUCCCGGCCGCCGUAGAGCAAGCGACGCGGGAGUUCGGCAGUCGCGUCGCCUAGGCAACGGCUCGGCGGCGGGCUGCGGGCGCCAGGCGGCCCCGGGGAGGCGCUCGCGCCGGCGGCCGGGGCUCUACGAGGCGACAAGGCGGCAGGAAGCUGAAUGCAGUGGAGGCUGUUGUAGACCUUCAGAGGUGAUCAGAGAGAGAGGAUUACACUAGAAGGUUACUUCCAAAAGGAGGUAUGUAGCUUGCCUUUUGUCUUGGCCAGAAGACUAGUCUGGUGUGUGUGCCUAGUGUUAGGAAAACGGUGCCUUGAGGAGACAGCCAAACUUCUAGAGACUCUCCCAAGAAUUUCAGGCUGGAAGGGAGUCCAAAAGGUAGCAAGAGUGUCUACUUGAUGUUUGAAGGAUAAGCUUCGGCUCUUCUUGACAGACUUUUUUAGGGUCGGAGGUGGCGUUAUGGGUAAAGUUUUAGGAUGUUUGCUUUUUAUUUUUUGUGAACCUUCAAGGGAUUUGUUUGUUUUAAUACAGGAUUUUGUGGCCUACAGUCUGGUCUUGAUUAAUGCUGCUGUGUAGCUGAGGCUUUGCCUUGAACUCCUGACUCUCAUGUCUCUGCUCCUGAGUUUGUGAGCUUGCAGAGGCGUCUAAUUAGAAGCGGGUGAGCGUGUGCGCAUGCGCUUCCGCGAUUCUAUGCGCGCCCUUGAUCAGAAGUAGACCUCUCACCCUCUUUGGUCUCCUUGCUAUUAUUUUUUGCUUUGCAGCCAGUUCUUUAUGGCGAUUCAAAACAAAAACAAAAACAGAUAUUGACAAUUAUCUUAGACCUUUUUUUCAUUAUUAAAACUACAUACUCG